rnacentral:lncRNA from 1 species
GGAAUAUUGGACUUGGAGGUGUCCAUUCUGAUUCCGAAGUCUGUUCCUGUCUCCUGGCCUGUGCCAAACUCUCUUUCCUUAAAGGAUUGCUUUGGCCUUCCUGGAGUUUGUGGAGGAGAAGAAAGCAUCAGAGUUAUCCCUGCCACUCCAGAACUACAGAGGUCUCAUGAUGGCCCAGAGAGGCCUGGGUCUUGCAGCCAGAAGCCACAGCUGUCAAUCCACCUCCUAAAAGGAUUUCAUCCCUCUGAAGACUUGCCUGCAGUUUCCAGGACAUCCCAGAUCAAGUGUCUAGCCAAUGCGAGCUGCCCACUGCCCAGGUGGAGAUUGAAGAGAAAAGAACCCUGUUACCUUCUCUAAAAAUCCCAGCUGCCCAGAACUCACCAUUAUCCAGUCACCAUGCACUUUCACAUCAUCUCUUCUGCCUUGUCCUGGGGCCCAAAGAACUGAAUCACAGUAUCACUAGGUGGGCGGGUGACGAAUGGGGUGUGUUUAGAAAUGUCAUCUGUCCGGGAGGAGAUUACAAAGGCCAAGUGGAUGAAAGCCACUUCCAUUCGUCUUAACAUCUUCAGUGGACUCUACCACCUACUCAAAUGUGUCAUGUGAGAUUGGAGAGGAGGGAGAAAGAAGGAGGACAUCACCAAGAAAACAAACAAGCAGAAGAAGAGCUGAGCUCCAUCUUGAGUCGGACAGAACACAGGGAAGAAAGAGCUGCCAAAGGUCAGAUGAAAAUGAGACAUUGGAAACCAGAACUGAAGCCAAGUGACCAUGACAAUAUGAGCUUCCCACUUCCACUACGCCAUCCUGGGCAGAGGGCCAUGCUGCCUCCUUGAAAUGCAGGCAGGAAGUGGGGUGAGGGCCAGAUAUUUCUUAAGUCUUGAAGGACAAACUCAUCUCUGCUGACACCUGGGUUUGGGUCUGGAAUAUUUUCACCUCCUACAAUCUACUUUACUUCUUCAGGAGUUUGCCAUUAUCUCUAUCUGCAUUUGCUGCCAUAUAGGGAGACCCAACAGAGAAAAACCAACCCAACAGAGAAAAACACAAUUAACAAGCUUACUUCUCAUGUAGAACCGACUUCUUGAGUACUUCUCAUUGGUCAUCAGCGACCCACUGACACUAAAUUUAAACAAUGUUGCCUAAGAAAUCUGCAUAUUUAAGUUGGACAAUACCUUAAACAUGCUCACCUGCCUGUGACAUCCAAAGAGACAGAGAAAAUAGGAAAGAGUGUGCAUCUCUGACGGUACAGGAGUGAAUGAACACAGGCAUCCAUUAGUCAGUGUGUCCUACAUAAUGAAUGAACAAAUGGGUGGGUGAGUGAAUGAAUGAAUAAACCCACCCUUCAGAAAAUCCUUUCCAGAAUAGAACAUAUUUCUUUAAAAAGUGUUUCCUUCUUUUCCUAAUUGUGAAAAAUCUGAUUAUCUGAUCUGAUCUGCUCUUCAAAUUCUGGUCAUAUUAAUUUUCAUUUGAAUUGUUUUCCCAG